rnacentral:lncRNA from 1 species
AAACUCCCACCCUCAAGAGAUCUGCCCACCUCAACAACCUAAGUAACAGAUAUAAUCUCGCUGUGUCACUCAGACUGGGGUGCCAUGGCAUGAUCACAACGCACUGAGACCUGGAGCUCUUAGGUCAAGAAAUUGUCCUGCCUCAGGGCCAGACUUAUCGUGAACUGCUGGGCCAAAGAAACCAUCCUGCCUCAACCUCCUAAAUAGCUGGAAUUAUAGGUGUGGGCCACCAAUUCUGGCUUCAUGUUCAUUUCUUCUUGCCGCUGUUACAAACUACCCUACAUUGAGUGGCUUAAUACACCACAAAUCUACUAACUAAGAGGUCUGGGGGCCAGAAGUCCAAAAUAGGUCUAUUAAGGCUAAAGUCAAGGUGCCAGCAGGACUGCAUCCCUUCUGGAGGUUCUGGAGAGAAUAUGUUCCCUUGCCUUUCCCAGUUGCUAAAGCCACUGCUAUUCUUUGGCUCAUGGCUCCUAACUGCAUCUUCAAAGCCAGAAGCAAAGCAUAUUCGAAUCUCCCUCUGUGACCUGUGCUUCCAUCAUCAAAUCUCCUUCAAUUCGGACUCUCUUACCUCCCUCUUUCACUUAUAAAGACCUCUUGUGAUUGCUGGACACAGAGGCCGUGGCUCACAACCAUAAUCCCAACAGUUUAGGAGGUCAAAGCAGGAGAAACGCUUGAGGCCAAAACUUCAGGACCAGCCUGGGAAACACGGCGAGACCCCCUCAAUUAAACAACAAAAAGAAAUAAGAAAAAAUUAGCUGGGCAUGGUAGUAUGCAUCUGUAGUUUCAGCUACUUGAGAGGUUGUGGUGAAAGGAUCGCUUUAGCCCCAGAGUUCAAGACCAGCCUCGGCAAUAUAACAAGAUCCCAUCUCUACAAAAAAAAAUACAAAAAUUAGCUGGGCAUGGAUGGUGUGCACCUGUAGUCCCAGAUGCUUGGAAGGCUGAGGUGGGAGAAUUGCUUGAGCACAGGUGGUUGAGACUGCAGUUAACUACAACACCAUCACUGCACUCCAGAUUGGGUGAAACAGAGACUCUGUGUUCAAAAGAAAAAGAAAAGAAAUACACAUUUGGUUUCUGCCCCUCAUCCUGGCACAGAGCUUCUCAAGCUCUUAUAAAGGCCUUGGUGAUGAAAGUGAUGGGGCAUCUUCUGUUUCAAUAUUUGGUCUUAGUCCCAGGUUUCUAACACAAGAGCCUCUAAGACCUUUGGGAUCACCAUAGUAAGAAUGCAUUUGGUGAUGUUACUGAGAUGACUGGGUGACUGAAAGCUCCUAGACAGCUUCAGAAAAAGGGGUGGUUGUUGUCAGAAGAACAAACCAUGUGAUUAGAGGCUUGGAACUGUCAGCCUCACCCCCUGGGCUCCAGGAAGAAAUAGUGGCCGAAGACUGACUUAAUUACCAAUGGUCAAUGAUUUCAUCAAUCAUGCCUGCAUAAUGAAGCGUUCAUAAGCGCCCUUAACAACUGGAGUUGGAGAAUGUCUGGGUUGCUGAACACAAGGGAGAUACCAGGAAGGUAACAUGCACAAUAGAGGACAUGGAAGUUCUGUACCCCUCUCGACAUACCUUGCCCUGUGUGUGUUUUUUUUUUUUUUUUGAGACAGAGUCUGGCUCUGUCUCCCAGCCUAGAGUGCCAUGGCACAAUCGUGGCUCACUGCGAACUAUGCCUCCCUAUCUCAAGCCCCAUCCUCUCAUCCUCUCACCUCAGCCUCCUGAGUAGCUAGAAUUAUAGGCACUGAGUAGCUAGAACUAUAGAUAACUGUGCCUGGCUAAUUUUUAGAAAAAUCUUUUUGUAGAGAUGCAUUUUCACCUUGUUACCCAGGCUGGUCUUAAUCUCCUGAGCACUUAAGCGAUGCUCCCGCCUCAGUCUCCCAAAGUGCUGAAAUUACAGGCAUGAGCCACUGUGCCCAGCAUGUACAUCUCUUUCACUGGCUGUUUCUGAGAUUUAGCCUUUAAAAUGAACCAGUAAAAGAAAAUAAAUUGGUGAGAUGCAGUGGUUCAUG